AUACGUAGGGAGCGAGCGUUGUCCGGAAUUACUGGGCGUAAAGGGCACGUAGGCGGCGCUUCAAGUCGUCUGUCAAAUGGGAGGGCUUAACCCUUUUUCGCAGACGAAACGGGAGAGCUUGAGAAGCAGAGAGGCAAACAGAAUUCCUGGUGUAGCGGUGAAAUGCGUAGAUAUCAGGAAGAAUACCAGUGGCGAAGGCGGUUUGCUGGCUGCAUACUGACGCUGAAGCGCGAAAGCCAGGGGAGCAAACGGGAUUAGAUACCCCGGUAGUCCUGGCCGUAAACGAUGAAUGCUAGGUGUGGGUGUCGAGAGGCAUCCGUGCCGGAGUUAACGCGAUAAGCAUUCCGCCUGGGGAGUACGAUCGCAAGAUUGAAACUCAAAGGAAUUGACGGGG
rnacentral:rRNA from 1 species